GAGAGGAAGAAUAUAUGAAAAUAGAGAAAGAAAAAAAAAUCAAAAAUUUGAGAAGGAGACGAGACCUUGUCUUGAGUUUUUUUUUCCCAAAUAAUAAAAAGUUUAAGAUAUAUUAAAAGAUAUUGUAUAGAUUUUUACCAAAAAAAAGAUAUUGUAUAGAUACUCUAAAGAUUUUUAAACAAUUUUUUUAUUUAUAAAACUGUUACUUUAAAUAUAUAAUAAAUUAAGAAUUGAGAGAUAUUAAAAUUGGAAAAUUUGGUAAAUUUAUAUAUACCAUAGUGUAUUUUUCCAAAAACUUAAAUAAUGAUGUAGUUUUCAAAUUAUAAUCUUAUGUGAGUGUAUUUCUCCAAAUUUUCCCUAGAACUUUUCACCCCUCCUGUCAAUAAAUUAAUGGUUUAAAUAUUUGAUUUUAGUUAUUUAAACAAAACAAAUUAAAAUAAUAGCAUUUUAUUUUUAAUAAUUUUUUUAGAGCUUAGCGAUAAGAGCAAGGUAAGCUCU
rnacentral:lncRNA from 1 species